rnacentral:snRNA from 1 species
GGAUGUGAGGAUGAUCUGGCUGUGACAUAUGUCAACCCACUGAUGACCAGGGUUGGUCCAGCUGAUCUGGCUGGCUACUCCAAUGAACUCCCUCGCCCCUGCGUGUUCACUGUCUCCUGAGGCUGCACUAUUGAUUGGUGGAGGAGAUCGAGGGUCUCUGAUAGAGGAGGACCAUUCUUCAGUCAAAGGCUUACGAGGAAGAGGGUUCCCCUAGAACAUUCAAACAAAUUCUCAAGAACACUUAAAAGAGGCCAGGUGUGGUGGCACAUGACUAUAAUCCUAGCACUUGGGAUGCAGAGGUAG